rnacentral:lncRNA from 7 species
AUUUUGUGUGUGUGGGGGCUCGCGCCAGGCCUCGCUGCCGCCGCCGCGAGGCUGCAGCGUUUUCAGGGAGCCGGACUGCUGCUGCAGCGCUUCCUGCCUGAAGAGCGGCUGGAAGCGGAGUCGGGUAUCGCAGUCCCCCGCUGGGGACGGGGUGCUUCGGCAGGCGCUGGAAGUCUGCGCUGCUGCUAAGUGUGCCGAGGGCUGCGUGCUGCCCGGCUCACCGCGCUGCCCCGGGGUCACUGCUGCCGGAGUGGGACACGCAGCUGUCCGGGAGGAGCCGAGUCCGCCCCGUGCAGCGCUGCGGGGCUCCAGGUGGAGCAGGAGGCCUCAGCGGGCUGCUGCUUCUCUCCCCGAGCAAUGACUCCUAACGAGUGAGAUCCCAAUUAACUCAGCCCGCUCCUAACGAGUGAGAUCCCAAUUAACUCAGCCCGCUCCAACACAAGGAGCAGCAGCAGAGCCCCCGCAGCCACCCCAGCGCUGCCGCUGCCCGGUGGUGUCAUGGCAGAGGGAAGGGAAAAGGAGACUGCGAGGCUCCUGGGCAGCACCCCUGCGGUACUCUCCUGUCCUUCCCACAGCUGGUGGCAGUGUUUGCCCCGAGCGGAUUUUUUGGCCAAGCCUAUGCUAAAACCUGCCUGGAGCCCCACAGCAGCCCCACGCCAUCUUCCCCUUCCCCGGAGCUGACGUUUGUUAUGAAAUAAACCUGCCCCCGUAGGUAC